rnacentral:precursor_RNA from 9 species
UACCGGCGAAACCAGGUGUGUACAGCGGCGCGUGGCAAAGAUACUGCGAUGCGCCGCGUUACAUCGUAUCACAGUUCUUUGUCACCCUUUGCCUUACGCAUAUUUUCCACAAAACCAU